rnacentral:rRNA from 1 species
UACGUAGGGGGCUAGCGUUGUCCGGAAUCAUUGGGCGUAAAGCGCGCGUAGGCGGCCCGGUAAGUCCGCUGUUAAAGUCCAGGGCUCAACCCUGGAACGCCGGUGGAUACUGUCGGGCUAGAGUCCGGAAGAGGCGAGUGGAAUUCCUGGUGUAGCGGUGGAAUGCGCAGAUAUCAGGAGGAAUACCGAUGGCGAAGGCAGGUCUCUGGGCUGACACUGACGCUCAUGCACGAAAGCGUGGGGAGCAAACAGG